CCUACGUGAGGCAGCAGUGAGGAAUAUUGGUCAAUGGGCGCGAGCCUGAACCAGCCAAGUAGCGUGCAGGAUGACUGCCCUACGGGUUGUAAACUUCUUUUAUACAGGAAUAAAGUGAGGCACGUGUGCCUUUUUGUAUGUACUUUAUGAAUAAGGAUCGGCUAACUCCGUGCCAGCAGCCGCGGUAAUACGGAGGAUCCGGGCGUUAUCCGGAUUUAUUGGGUUUAAAGGGAGCGUAGAUGGGUUGUUAAGUCAGUUGUGAAAGUUUGCGGCUCAACCGUAAAAUUGCAAUUGAUACUGGCAGUCUUGAGUACAGUUGAGGUAGGCGGAAUUCGUGGUGUAGCGGUGAAAUGCUUAGAUAUCACGAAGAACUCCGAUUGAGAAGGCAGCUUACUAAACUGUCACUGACAUUGAUGCUCGAAAGUGUGGGUAUCAAACAGGAUUAGAUACCCGAGUAGUC
rnacentral:rRNA from 1 species